rnacentral:lncRNA from 1 species
GUCAGCAGACUUGAAGAGAGAGAAGCAGAACUGAAGAAGGAGUAUAAUGCACUGCACCAGAGACACACGGAGAUGAUCCAUAAUUACAUGGAACACUUGGAAAGAACCAAACUUCAUCAGCUCUCAGGGAGUGAGCAGCUAGAGGCCACAGCUCACAGUAGAAUUAGAAAAGAGCGUCCUAUCUCAUUAGGGAUUUUCCCUCUACCUGCUGGAGACGGGUUGCUCACACCUGACACUCAGAAGGGAGGCGAGACCCCAGGAUCAGAGCAAUGGAAAUUUCAAGAAUUAAGUCAACCACGGUCUCAUACCAGCCUGAAGGAUGAACUUUCUGAUAUUAGUCAGGGUGGAUCUAAAGCUACCACUCCAGCUUCAACAGCAAAUUCGGAUGUGUCAGCAAUUCCUCCUGAUACUCCGUCAAAGGAAGAUAAUGAAGGACU